rnacentral:misc_RNA from 1 species
AAGUCGUAACAAGGUCUCCGUAGGUGAACCUGCGGAGGGAUCAUUACAACGUAUCCAACGUAUAAACCUUUGUGAAUUUGUUUUUAUAACAACGAAACGAAUCGAAGCCUGUGCAGAGAGAGGGGGCAACCUUUUUCGAUGCACGACUUUGGCUCUUUCACUUUACUUUAAACCUUUUGCACUAUUAUUUGUAACAUGAGUAUGCAAACGCGUCGAAAGGCGUGCUUUGUCAUAUUUCUUAUUAAAUUAAGAAAUUAUACGCACAACUCUUAGCAACGGAUAUCUAGGCUCUC